UACGUAGGGUGCAAGCGUUAAUCGGAAUUACUGGGCGUAAAGCGUGCGCAGGCGGUUGUGCAAGACAGAUGUGAAAGCCCCGGGCUCAACCUGGGAAUGGCAUUUGUGACUGCACGGCUAGAGUGUGUCAGAGGGGGGUAGAAUUCCACGUGUAGCAGUGAAAUGCGUAGAGAUGUGGAGGAAUACCGAUGGCGAAGGCAGCAUCCUGGACCGACACUGACGCUGAGGAGCGAAAGCCAGGGGAGCAAACGGG
rnacentral:rRNA from 1 species